rnacentral:rRNA from 1 species
AUUGAACGCUAGCGGGAUGCCUUACACAUGCAAGUCGAACGGCAGCACGGACUUCGGUCUGGUGGCGAGUGGCGAACGGGUGAGUAAUGUAUCGGAACGUGCCCAGUAGCGGGGGAUAACUACGCGAAAGCGUAGCUAAUACCGCAUACGCCCUACGGGGGAAAGCAGGGGAUCGCAAGACCUUGCACUAUUGGAGCGGCCGAUAUCGGAUUAGCUAGUUGGUGGGGUAACGGCUCACCAAGGCGACGAUCCGUAGCUGGUUUGAGAGGACGACCAGCCACACUGGGACUGAGGCACGGCCCAGACUCCUACGGGAGGCAGCAGUGGGGAAUUUUGGACAAUGGGGGAAACCCUGAUCCAGCCAUCCCGCGUGUGCGAUGAAGGCCUUCGGGUUGUAAAGCACUUUUGGCAGGAAAGAAACGUCGCGGGUUAAUACCUCGCGAAACUGACGGUACCUGCAGAAUAAGCACCGGCUAACUACGUG